rnacentral:rRNA from 1 species
GUUGUCCUGGGGUAAGCAUGUAGGGCGGAACGUAGGUAAAUCCGCGUUCUAUUCAGCCUGAGAUGUGAUGCCGAGCCGAUUGUGGUGAAGUGGAUGAUCCUAUGCUGCCGAGAAAAGCCUCUAGUGAGUGUUGUGGCGGCCCGUACCCUAAACCGACUCAGGUGGUCAGGUAGAGAAUACCAAGGCGAUCGGGUGAACUGUGGUUAAGGAACUCGGCAAAUUGCCCCCGUAACUUCGGGAGAAGGGGGACCUCUGCUGGUGAUGGGCUUUACGUUCUGAGCUGGUGGGGGUCGCAGUGGCCAGGGGGAAGCGACUGUUUACUAAAAACACAGGUCCGUGCGAAGUCGUAAGACGAUGUAUACGGACUGACGCCUGCCCGGUGCCGGAACGUUAAGGGGACCGCUUAGCCAACGCGAGUUGGCGAAGGUGAGAACUUAAGCGCCGGUAAACGGCGGUGGUAACUAUAACCAUCCUAAGGUAGCGAAAUUCCUUGUCGGGUAAGUUCCGACCUGCACGAAUGGCGUAACGACUUCCCCGCUGUCUCAACCACAGACCCGGCGAAAUUGCACUACGAGUAAAGAUGCUCGUUUCGCGCAGCAGGACGGAAAGACCCCGGGACCUUCACUACAGCUUGACAUUGGCGUUUGGAACGUCUUGUGUAGGAUAGUGGGAGACUGGGAAGCUGUCACGCUAGUGAUGGUGGAGUCAUUGGUGAAAUACCACUCUGGUCGUUUUGAACGUCUAACUCUGGUCCGUGAUCCGGAUCGGGGACAGUGUCUGGUGGGUAGUUUAACUGGGGCGGUUGCCUCCUAAAGAGUAACGGAGGCGCCCAAAGGUUCCCUCAGCCUGGUUGGCAAUCAGGUGUUGAGUGUAAGUGCACAAGGGAGCUUGACUGUGAGACUGACAGGUCGAGCAGGAGCGAAAGCUGGGACUAGUGAUCCGGCAUCGGCGUGUGGAAGCGGUGUCGCUCAACGGCUAAAAGGUACCCCGGGGAUAACAGGCUGAUCUUCCCCAAGAGUCCAUAUCGACGGGAUGGUUUGGCACCUCGAUGUCGGCUCGUCGCAUCCUGGGGCUGGAGUAGGUCCCAAGGGUUGGGCUGUUCGCCCAUUAAAGCGGUACGCGAGCUGGGUUUAGAACGUCGCGAGACAGUUCGGUCCCUAUCCGCUGCGCGCGCAGGAGACUUGAAGGGGGCUGUCCCUAGUACGAGAGGACCGGGACGGACGAACCUCUGGUGUGCCAGUUGUACCGCCAGGUGCACGGCUGGUUGGCUACGUUCGGAAGGGAUAACCGCUGAAAGCAUCUAAGCGGGAAGCUCGCCUUGAGAUGAGGUCUCCCACCCCGUGAGGGGGUAAGGCUCCCGGUAGAUCACCGGGUUGAUAGGCCGGAGGUGGAAGCACGGUAACGUGUGGAGCUGACCGGUACUAAUAGGCCGAGGACUUGAUCA